rnacentral:misc_RNA from 1 species
AACGGUCUAUACCUGCGGUACCUGCGGAGGGAUCAUUACUGAGUGAGGGCCCUCUGGGUCCAACCUCCCACCCGUGUUUAUUGUACCUUGUUGCUUCGGCAGGCCCGCCUCACGGCCGCCGGGGGGCUUUCCGCCCCCGGGCCCGCGCCUGCCGGAGACAAUCUUGAACGCUGUCUGAAGAAUGCAGUCUGAGCGAUUAAGCAAAAUUAGUUAAAACUUUUAACAACGGAUCUCUAGAUC